rnacentral:lncRNA from 1 species
GAUGCUUAGUGGUGCUAAGGGGUUAUCGUCUAUGGAGGAUCAUGAGGACGACACGGGCCUGUUAAGUUGACUAUACGGGUGUUGUCGUGUAUGGAAAUGAUGGGUUGAUGUCGAGGAAAGCAGAGUGCUUAAUACAUCAGACCCUAUGGAGUAUGGAUUGGAAGAGCGUGGUGGUUAACAUAUGGAAUUACUAGAUAAAGUAAUUUGGAAAUAGUAUCAAAUGGAUUCGUCAGAAAGAGAAAGUUACAGAAUGAUAUAAUUUUGUAUAUUAGUAAGUAUUGGAAUUUGUUUUCAUCUGGUUGCUCAAAUGAACGGAGGUAUGUAUCUAAGUUUUGCGGACGAAACUUUCGUUAACGGAGGGAGAAUGUAAUAUACCGGAUUUUUAAUAUAACAGUAAGGGUAAAUAAAAAUAGUGUAAGAUACUAUUUUUAUUGGACUUAGAGAAGUAAAAUAUAACUAUAUAAGUCUGGAAUGACUUGUGCGAAACUCGGAACGGAAACAGAAAAUUUAGAAUUUUCUGUAAGAAACGGGGCUGAUAUUUUAGCAGAAAAUGCACAGUGUUAGAAAAUUAUGAAAAUCCAGGAAUAUAUUAGGAUUAUUUUUAUGAGGCUAGAUUUAAAGUUUCAUGCCACUCUGACACCUGGAAAGUGGAAAAUAAGCUAUCUGUAAUAAAAUGUUAGUCGGUAGAGCUUUCGGUGACCAAAAAGGGUCGAAACUGAAAGAUUAAAAUUUCUUUGUUCUUAUUAAGUUAAACCAAGCCUGACUGUCAAAUUUGAACGAAAACGGACAUUCAGAAGGGCUCCGGCGAAAAGUAUCAGAUUCUAAGUUGGA